AUUGAACGCUGGCGGCAGGCCUAACACAUGCAAGUCGAGCGGAUGAAGGGAGCUUGCUCCUGGAUUCAGCGGCGGACGGGUGAGUAAUGCCUAGGAAUCUGCCUGGUAGUGGGGGAUAACGUCCGGAAACGGGCGCUAAUACCGCAUACGUCCUGAGGGAGAAAGUGGGGGAUCUUCGGACCUCACGCUAUCAGAUGAGCCUAGGUCGGAUUAGCUAGUUGGUGGGGUAAAGGCCUACCAAGGCGACGAUCCGUAACUGGACUGAGAGGAUGAUCAGUCACACUGGAACUGAGACACGGUCCAGACUACUACGGGAGGCAGCAGUGGGGAAUAGUGGACAAUGGGCGAAAGCCUGAUCCAGCCAUGCCGCGUGUGUGAAGAAGGUCUUCGGAUUGUAAAGCACUUUAAGUUGGGAGGAAGGGCAGUAAGUUAAUACCUUGCUGUUUUGACGUUACCAACAGAAUAAGCACCGGCUAACUUCGUG
rnacentral:rRNA from 1 species